rnacentral:rRNA from 1 species
UACAGAGGGGGCAAGCGUUGUUCGGAAUUCCUGGGCGUAAAGGGCGCGUAGGCUGCCUUCUAAGUCGAACGUGAAAUCCCCGGGCUCAACCCGGGAACUGCGUCCGAUACUGGAAGGCUUGAAUCCGGGAGAGGGAUGCGGAAUUCCAGGUGUAGCGGUGAAAUGCGUAGAUAUCUGGAGGAACACCGGUGGCGAAGGCGGCAUCCUGGACCGGCAUUGACGCUGAGGCGCGAAAGCCAGGGGAGCAAACGGG